rnacentral:lncRNA from 1 species
UCGGUUUUUUGAAAACUUUUGAAAUUUUAUAUUACAAAUUUUAUAGGUGUAAUUUAAUUAAAGUUAGAGGGUUAUUUUCGAAAAAAUUAAUUUUUUUACACGGAUUUAAGAUUAAACCAAAAAUCAAGAGGGAACAACAACCAAAUGGACCAAGAAACCCUUUUUGAGAGAAUCGGAUGUGCCGACGAAUUAACAUACAAAAUUCUAAGUAAUCAAGAACAUCUUCAUAUGAGAGCUCAAUCUCAUCAAGAACAUCUUCAUAUGGGAC